rnacentral:lncRNA from 1 species
ACAGUGUUCAAAGCAGAGUGAAUCUGGAGCAGUUCAGAGUAACUCUGAGCAACUCUGAGGAAUUUGCGAUUCGAAAUUCCCACCCUUGAAUCAUCUUGAUUUUGGCAAAGCGGUUAAAAAAAAAGAAUAACAAACCAAACUCAGUUUGACAUAUCAAAACAGCGAUAAAUAAUGAAGAUGAAAAGUUUUGAAGUAAUUACUGAUUGUAAAGAAAAAUUUCUUAGCCGCAUAUAGCAAUGGAUUUAGUGUGAAAAACAUGCUAUUUGCAACUAUCAAACGGUUAUCCUGCCGCAUCUACGCCUACGCGGUGACAAGCCGGAAGAUUAAAUCCAGCAAGGACAAUAUUCGCCCGAGAAAGACACAAGACCGAUCGUCAUGAAGGACAAAACUGAAAGUGAAAUGAAUGUCCAGUGCUGGGAAGAAAAAUGUCUGUUCGAAGGCGAAUGAGGCCGUUCACAAUCCGGGCUAGAAGCAGGAACUACUUCCUGUCGGAGACUCAAUUCAGUUUCGAUGUCGAGUCUGUAUUUGAAUAUUCCGUAUUCAUACCGAGAAUAAAACGUAAAUUGAAAC